GCAUCGGAAGUGGACGGGGUUACGCUGUCCGCUUUGUAAGCGGAUGAUUCUGGGUUCGAUUCCCAUCUGCUGCA
rnacentral:tRNA from 1 species